UGAAAGCGUGAGGUGAGGCGUGUGAAGUGACUGUCGGGUCUCUUCUGCGAGAGGUGCAGGAGUCUGGCUGCUUACAGUAAUUAUGGCGCUUAGACAGGCAGCGACGCUGCACGUUUUUCAGCGUGGAGAAUGCAAUGUAGGAACGAGGCCAAGCGCAGAGAUGCGGGUGUGGAAGUAGAAAGCAGGAAAAAGAAGGUGAUCAAAGGAGGACGUGUCGUAUAUUUAAAAAAACACAACAACAACAACAGAGGAACGGGUGAGAGGUGAAAUGGCGAUGAGGAAAGAAGUAGACUACGAGACGAGGAGAGAUGGAGUAGCUCUCCGCUUGAGCAAGCGAUGCCCCGUUGCCAUGGCAGCACCGUCUCUCUGGUCUCCGUGGGAACGGCUGAAUCCUGUUGCAGCUCGACUUUGCCCCUGGUGGGAAGCCCUGGAAUUAUCUGCCUGUUUCAAUCGAGUCCAGCCAGAUUCGUCCUCUUCUGUGGUCAGUGACCGGCAAAUCACACACACACACACACACACACACACACACACACACACACACACACACACACACACACACACACACACACACACACAAUCCCAGUCUUGCCUGGGGUUCACAGAUCAGGGGAUGGACACAACUGUGUGACACGUCUCUUUCUCACACCCUUCUAGUACUAAUGAAGGCAAAAAAUUAGAUUUUAAUCCCGAGCGUGUAUGGUCGUACAUGCGUCUGCUCUCGGGCGCCUACUUGCAUACAAGUGUGUGUUUAUGCAUGCGUCUGAGACCACAGCCUGGUGGAGAUCAAUUAAAUGAUAGGCAUGCUGGGAGUCGAUCUUUCCAGAGGCCUCUGCGCUUCACAAACAGUUUGGCACAUAGUAACAGAAACACGAAUCCCUGUAAUUCAUCCCAAUACCUUUAAAGUCACAUAUAGUCAAAAAACCAAGGACUGUGGUCUGUGGUGUGAAAGGCCAUGACUUACACAAACGCAUGGAAGCCGCUCAUUCCAUUUCAAGCCCACUGAACACACAGUUCUCAUCCUCCCAUACAGACUGCUUCUUAAAUACGUUUCCCAGUCCCAGUUAACCCUGAUGUCACCGGUGUCGUCCGAUGGCCUCCUAUGUUUUGUCUCACAUCACAGACGUGUCCUCAGCAGAAUGGAGCAGGGUGAGGGGGAAGAAGCCGGCGGGGCCCCGUGCAGUGAAUUAGCCACGCUCCCAGAGUAUUUUAUUAUCCGCCCUGUGUACAAUAGGACGCGCUGCUUACUUAUCAUGUGUAUUUGCCCAGAUGAGGAAGUAAUAGCUGUGUCAACAGCACCGUUGCCAUGGAGACAGAGGGGUUUCCAUAGCCAUGCUCGCCUUCCCAGUGACCCACUUUGCGCCCGCCGUUGUGGCAGUGAAGCCCUCCAAGAGCUCUCAGCGCCGCCACUCUGCCUUUUACCUAGCCAUUGAAUUCAGCUGAUUAAUGUAUGAUUUGAAUAAGAGCGGUGCGUGUGUGUGCGUGUGUGUGCGCGUGUGUGCGCGCGUGCGUGUCUAUCACGCCGCUCGACUCGCCGCGUCGAGCCGAGGAGCUCAGCGGGGAAAACAAGGACAUUUGGGCAGCAGCUCUGCUCGGUCGAGUGCAUCCGAGCCUCUUCUGCUUGACUGAAAGAAGAACAUGAAUUUAGACCUUUGUUGAUGAUGAAGUCAGUGAAAGACACAACUUAUUUACAGUCUUUGUCCUCGUUCAGUGAAGGUAAAGUGUUAAUGGCAUGGAAAUAAAAUCAUUAAAAUGGCCUAAUGCUAAAUUUGA
rnacentral:lncRNA from 1 species